UACGUAGGGGGCUAGCGUUGUCCGGAAUCAUUGGGCGUAAAGCGCGUGUAGGCGGCCCGGUAAGUCCGCUGUGAAAGUCGGGGGCUCAACCCUCGGAUGCCGGUGGAUACUGUCGGGCUCGAGUACGGAAGAGGCGAGUGGAAUUCCUAGUGUAGCGGUGAAAUGCGCAGAUAUCAGGAGGAACACCGAUUGCGAAGGCAGCUCGCUGGGACGUGACUGACGCUGAGACGCGAAAGCGUGGGGAGCAAACAGG
rnacentral:rRNA from 1 species